GGCUUUAUAAAACUACCAUGAUGCCCCCCUCAGACUCACCUGACAAUUUUUAACUCAUCUGGCAGAUGCUCUUUGAGUUUAACCAGAUUAGGGCAGAAACAUUUGGGUAGACUGGGAAGGGACUUCAGGUAACUCUAAGGACUGAAAAUGAAUCUUGCUCUAACACUAUUUUCCAUAAUGUAGAGUUUGGUAUAAGGCAGGGUUAUCUUGAAUUCCAUCCCACAUGAUUUGGCUACUGAUUUGCACAAUUCUUCUAAGAACUAGGUUACAGUUAGGGGCCGGUGACUUGGACUUGGAUUUUGUUUACUACCAGAGACUGUACAAGUGUGUCAGGAAAUAAAAAUCUCUUCUGUUAGUUGUAGUUGUCUGAUCACGUAACACUGGGCUAUUUAUGGGACAAGUCAGUUAGCCAACAAUGAGGUGUAGGGGAGUGCCAGUUAUCUAUUUUAGACUAGUGCAAUGCUAUAGAACACUUGAGAAGUGUAUUAUUUAGGGCUUUUAGGCAUUAAGGCUGGGAUCACUGUAGACCCAAUUUGACCCAAGACAUCAAAUUUCAGUGGUUGUGAGUUCACCAAAACACUUAGAUAAAAGAGCUCUCUCCAGAAGCAAUUCCACUUUAUAAUCAAACACUGGAAGUCACUUAACUGCACAAUGUAUUUUUUAAUCAAAUAAAUCAUAUCGCAAGAUUUUGGAAAACCAGAACAGAUACCAAAUCAUGAUUUUUGGAUGAAGGAUAAGGAAUGGAUGGCCAGGCAUGGUGGCUCACGCUUGUAAUCCCAGCACUUCAGGAGGCUGAGGUGGGUGGAUCACCUGAGGUCAGGAGUUCGGGACAAGCCUGGCCAACAUGGCGAAACCCCGUCUCUACUAAAAUUACAAAACAAUUAGCCAGGUGUGGUGCCAUGCGUCUAUAAUUCCAGCUACUUGGGAGGCUGAGGCAGGAGAAUCGCUUGAAUCUGGGUGGCAGAGGUGGCAGUGAGCCGAGAUUACAUCACUGCACUCCAGCCUGGCAAGAGAGCCAGAUUUUGUCUCAAGAAAAAAAAUUAUAUAAGGGAUGGAUGAAUGAAGGUGCUUAGGCACUUAAGUAUAUGGAAGAGUGAUAAAAGAAUGAAGAGAAGAAUCUAGGUGUUAGUAUUCCUAAGUAGUAAAGAGUAAGAAGUAGGCCCUCACCAUAGCUCUCAAUGAAUAUGUGAGUGAUACCAACAGAUACAAAAAUUCUCUUGCAUCUGCAUUCAUUAGGUGAAUUGACUUCAGAGACAAAAGAAGGAAAGCUAUGAAAACUUUUAUCUCCCCAGAGACUCCUUCCCAGCCCACUCAAAUAAAACGGCAUUCUGGUCACUCUCUAUCCUCUUAAUCUGCUUUAUUUUUCUUAUCAUUUAUCAAUUCCUGAUAUUGAUCAUAUAUUUGCUUACUGACUUCCCACCAGGGUGAAAUCACCAUGAACACAAUGACUUUGUUUUGUUCACCGUGCUUUCUCCUGGGUCUAGAACGGUACCUGGCACAUAAGCAUCAUAAUUUUUUUGUUGCAUAAAUAAAUGUAUACACACAAUUUGACCGAUUCUAUUGGCUCUUUUCAAAGUUAUAAUUGAACAAUAUAUCAGUAUGAAACACCAAGGCAUGAAAAUGGAACAGAUUUCCAUU
rnacentral:lncRNA from 1 species